UUUAUGUAAAUCUCGAUUCCCUGGCUACGUGGUAACAUUGUCGACCCGCCGAUAUCGUAAAGGUACAGAAAUAGCUGCAUCAACACCUGUUCAAUGCAAAGAGCAACGACUUGAAGUUUGACCCCAACUUCCCAGCAGCGACCGCUUUAAUUUGCAAGUCCAAACAGUGUCAGUGGGUAGGUGAGACUUACUUAACGACAUGGGGCGUCAUUAGUCCAGUCUCAGCUUUCUAAAACUCGCCUAGCGCUUAGCUGAAAGCGAAAGUUAUCAAUGUGAUUUGCUUUAUUGAGGGAGGUGAGGGGUCGGCGCGGAUCGUUCGGGCAUGCCAGGCACACGACGACACCGGCAUGCUUUGAUAAGGUCCGACUACAUUAUAUUGUACGUUAAUAUAGCUCUGGUAUUAUGUCGACAGUUAUCAGCAUGAGCUAGACAAAUUCAACCUGCUGUUAUCGGACAAAAUCGUGGCCUGAUGCUUCAGACAUGCGUGUGGAAAACAUAAUUUUGUUGAGGCGCGUGUUUCUGGGCACCUAAGGUGAGAACUUUCCAAGUACUGUUUGUUACCCAAUCACAAAGGGCAAGUGCUUGAAUCGAAAACAAGUGCCCCUAAUAAACGCCGCUGUUUGCUGAUAA